rnacentral:rRNA from 1 species
AACGAACGCUGGCGGCAGGCUUAACACGUGCAAGUCGAACGCCCCGCAAGGGGAGUGGCAGACGGGUGAGUAACGCGUGGGAAUCUACCCAUCCCUACGGAACAACUCCGGGAAACUGGAGCUAAUACCGUAUACGCCCUACGGGGGAAAGAUUUAUCGGGGAUGGAUGAGCCCGCGUUGGAUUAGCUAGUUGGUGGGGUAAAGGCCUACCAAGGCGACGAUCCAUAGCUGGUCUGAGAGGAUGAUCAGCCACAUUGGGACUGAGACACGGCCCAAACUCCUACGGGAGGCAGCAGUGGGGAAUAUUGGACAAUGGGCGCAAGCCUGAUCCAGCCAUGCCGCGUGAGUGAUGAAGGUCUUAGGAUUGUAAAGCUCUUUCACCGAUGAAGAUAGUGACGGUAGUCGGAGAAGAAGCCCCGGCUAACUUCGUGUCAGCCGCCGCGGUAA